UACGAGAACUCUCAUCCACAAAACCUUUCAUUCAUACUUUGGAUUAUAUUACGCUGACUGACCUGGAAGCGCUGGGGCGCCGUUCCUCGUGGAGUAGAUUCGUUUGGCUCGCAGCCUGGAUUACUUUUUAUCAGAGGACAUUGGUCAAUCAUCAUUCAUCACUUGAUCGUGCUCACGGACUAUACAAAAAAACCCGUUCCACCUAUGAGAUUGAUUUACGUUGGAUCGCCAAAAAAAAAGUGUCAUACGGGACCGCCCUUUGCGCAUGUGCGGGACCGCGCGCUCUCGCCCAUCUCUCAUCCUCUUAGUGCAACGCCAAGGCAACGUUUGGUGGACGAGACUGCAUAAAAGGCGAAUAUCCACUACUUGUUUAAGUUGAAAAGCAGUUUGCGGCAACCUCCUAUUAAUGGAUUAUGAAUGUGGCAGUGCAAAGAAUGCAGUUUGCAAUUAGCUAGCAGAUUAAAGGUGUUCCAAAAUGGCUAAUCCGGCUGUCCUUCGGAUCAUUUUUGGUGACGCGUCCGACUCUAGAAAACUGCACCUACCUUAUGGAAUUCUGGCAUCAGUGGAUGAACUACAUGUGCUAAUAAAGACAUUCUUUCAAUUGAAAGAGGAUUUCCAGAUUCAAUUCAUGGAUUCUGAUUUUAAUGAGUUCAUGAAUCUAACUUCAGUGUCUGACAUUCAAAACAAAAGCACACUGAAAAUAAUCUGUAAUCCUAUCUUGUCACCUGUGGAGCCCUCCGUCACUUUGUACACAAUAGACUCUUUUGGUGAGACCUCGGCUACCACUUGCUCAGAGCCUGAAACCCCUGUUUCGUCAAUAGCUUCAUCCUGCAGUGACGAUACGCUGUACACAUCAACACCACAUUCAUCCCCAGAAACUCUGCCCUCACGAUUGGCCUCCUGGCCAAAUGUUUUUCUAGUCCCUAAAUUCACCUAUGAAGCUGAAUUUGAACUACAACAGAAAAACACAGAGUUUGAGACCAAUGGAACAUACUUCAACCCUGGCCCAAAGCUAAAAGGGGUCAUCCUUGAUGGCCUUGCGCAAGAAAUGAUGAAAUACACUAAGUAUCCAAAAGACUACCAGUGUGAAGAGGUAGCAGCAGCUUUGACAAGGGCCCAUCCAUGUCUGGGGCAGCUGGGAUCCAAGACAGGAUUUUGGGGAUGGAAACAGUCGCUUAAGUAUAAAAUGCAAAACUUUCGUACGAAACUUGGCCGACUUGGACAUCCCGAAAUCCGUUUCAACUCUUUGAAACACAAACGAGAGGGUCAAGGCAAAGCUGCAGGCAACAUCAAGAAGCCUAGAAAGGCUGAAGUUAACUAUAUUCCUCUGCACCCAAAAGGCGAGACCACAGAAAUCUUGGAGAAUGAGAGAAUUGCUUUAUUGUCAGAGCUGAAAAAGCGUGACAAUCAAGUGGUGAUAAAAGAAAAAAAUGGGAAAAACCUUCUCCCACAGACGACUAGAGAUUGUGGAGCAGAGGCCCCUGAUAGAAGAUUUCGUAAACAGAUGGCCUGCCUUAUUCCAGCAGAGUGAAGGAAAUGUGUACAUGUAAAUGCAGAGUUUAUGAGGAUCACCACCAAGCCACUGCAGUCAAACUUCAUGUCACAGCUGGACCACUUCUCAAACAAGCUGAUGCAGAUAUUUAAGAGCAAAGGAGGAGUGAAGGGGCAGAGGAUUAAGGAAGUCCUGUCUAUCACAGAUUCGCGAGACAACAUCAACACCAAGAGGGAGUGUAUCCUGAGAUGCCUCAUCUACCUCAAUGAAGAUCCAGACACCUUCAAAGAAUAUCUGGCAUUGGCGACCGAGGAUGCAGAAAGGGACCUAGCGACCACAGUCAUGGGGAUUUAUGUGAUCCGAAGUGAUGGGGAUCAGGAGCCUGAGGACGUUGGAGUUGUGAUUGAAGGAGACUGUCCUCCUCCAAAAAACGACCAUAAAGGUCGUAUGUGCAAGCAGCUUAUUAUGACCUAUACUUACGUUUUAAAGUUAAACGCCCUCUAGCGCUCCUUUUAAUAACGACGGUGUCGUUUGUCAUGAAAUGGCAUUUGACCGUCGUUACCAAUCAAAAUACUAUUUGUUUUAUCAUUGUAUUUACUCGAGAUUAUUUAAAACAGAAAACUGAGGUGUGUAAUUCAUUUAUAUAUAUUGAAUGUAUUUGUGCUUUUUUUCUUCAAAAGCCGUAUUGGUAAGUAAAGAACCACAUCAAAAUAAUUAAAAUUUUUAAAAUAAACCUUUUGUAACAAGGUUUA